GACGGAGGAUGCAAGUGUUAUCCGGAAUCACUGGGCGUAAAGCGUCUGUAGGUGGUUUAAAAAGUCCACUGUUAAAGAUUGAAGCUUAACUUCAAAAAUGCCGUGGAAACUUUUAAACUUGAGUAUGAUGAGGGUAGAGGUAAUUUCCAGUGGAGCGGUAGAAAUGCGUAGAUAUUGGAAAGACCACCAAUGGCGAAGGCACUCUACUGGGCCAUUACUGACACUGAGAGACGAAAGCUAGGGGAGCAAAUGGG
rnacentral:rRNA from 1 species